GCCAAGCUCCACGUGCAAAUCGCCCCUCCGCUCAUGCAAUACAUGCUUCCAGCAGGAUUCACAACCAACAACUUUGGUUUGCAUGCCCUGCGGAAGGACCCUAUCAUCAUGCGGAAUAUAUGGCUGGAGUUCGUUGCUCCCCAGUGUUGAUAAAGUGCACAGUUGGGUGCCAGACUGAUCCCCGGUCAUGAAUGGAUGCCGGAACCAACCAGAAGGAGAAAAUAUGGGAAUCAUGUCCAGCAAUGGUUUAACGACCUCCAGAAAUAAUUGUAUUCACUGGUCACUUGCUGUUUUGACAGCUUGUCAGGCAGACCUCCGAAUAAAAGUGUGUAAUGUGACACAAGUACCCUUGUGAAACCCCCUG